ensembl:lncRNA
UUUUUAUUUUCAUACAGGUGUGCCUUAGAAGUUAGCAAGUAGUGAUAUCUUAUUUGAAUAUUUUUAAUUGCUUUUCAUUGGGCUUUUAUCUUUCUACAUCUGUGAUCAUCUUUUUGUCAAGAUGUUAAGAUAAUAACUAGGAUGAAGACAUACAUCUAGCCAAUACAGUACAAUAACAGAUUCUUAAUACAAUUUCAUAUGCUACUUGUUUUCUGAUUGUUGUUGCACCUUGAGCAGAUGUUGUCAUUCAGCUGCCCUUGGAGAUAAAUUCAGAACCCACUUCAUGCAGUUUAAUGUUCUUCCUUUAAAAUAGAACAUAGUUGAGUGGUUUGUGAUAUUACAUCCACUAACAAUUGUAUUUCUGAAAUGGCACAGAGUUGUCUCUAGCUCAUUGUGUGUGAAGUAUUCUUCAUUCGUCACCCUGAAAUAUUCUGAUAUUCAUUGCUGGAAUACUCAAGAUUCUGAUUGAUUAUUAGAGUAUUUAUGUUGGCAGCUGGACUGCAUCAGAUUCAGGCUCCUUUCCCUCCAUCACAAUACCUGUUUAGUUUAGAGGUUUGUGAUGUUUACUGGCUUCUGCUCAUACUUUUUGUCAGUAAUGAGCUGGGAACACAAUUGUUGGGAUUCUUUGAAUGUAAGCUCAGCCCUGCCUACAAAGCUUUGCAAAUACAUUAUUUCAGUGGGAGUUAUGUAUUUAGGCUUUUUUAAUCUGCCAAUGUCUUCCAUGCAAAGGUAUAAAAAUACUUUUGAAAAUCUGAUUAGUGCUGCGUUGCCAGUAACUAAAGACCCAUGGUCAUAAAAGGGCAAUAGAAAGUUUGGAAAUGCAGACCCCUUCAGAGGUUACCAGGCUUCCGGAGUUCCUUCAUUCUCACCUUUAAUCUAUUUAUCUGACAAUUUGUGCUGAACUAACAUUCAAACCUUUUGGCUAUUUUCAACCAUAUUUGAUGCAAGGGUAGAAAUCUAAAAUCUAUCAACUGCCCACAGAUUUCUUGAGGAGAAGUGACCAGAGAGAGGCAUACUUGAGGGAAGAGCUGGAGCAGGCUGAUCCCUGGCCUAUCUGCAGCCUGCCCAACUUAGGUCCUGCUGGCCAGAGCAGGGGGACAUGAAGGAGGCAGUGGUAUUAAAAAUGAGGAAAAUUAGACUAUCACAGUAAGCUUGCAAUGGAUACGGGAAGGAGCUGAGACUGUCUGAGCAUGAGGGUGAUUAGGUGGAGUGUCACUGAGAACAGAAAGAGGGAGAUUGGAUUGCUUUGCUGGUUGCUUAAAGAGUAUGUGGAUGUUAAAUUCAUUUGGGGGGAACAUCAGACAUAAAUCUCUAUGAAAAAACUUCUGCUGCUCAUGGAAAAAAUUGUUUAUGGGGAUUUUUGUUAAUAAGGAAAGCUUUUUAAGCAAAGGAAGGUCUGAGCAGAAUCCUACGACUUCAUCCUGAAGCUCUCUCAAAAACGCCCAUCACUGUGAGCAGCUCCCCAAGACCAUGGGCAGCAAAACAUUUGGUGGCGGUUGGGCAGACACCCUGAGGUGAUAUUUGUCAAUCUUUCAGCUGCGGAAAUGAGUGAAUACCAAAGUAUUCUUGGAGUUCAUUCUCAGAGGUAACAACGGUCUUUCAACCAAGACAAUAUAGGUCAGGCUGAUGGUUGAACUCAAUGGUCUUCAAAGUCUUUUCCAACAUAGAUGAUCGAUUCUGGUUCCUUAUAAGCAGACUAUUAUUCUGUAGAUCAAAUAAUGGCCCUUGAGGAAAAACCCGGUGCACAACACAGUAAGGCAUGAGCAGAAUUAACAUUUGCACAACUGGUGGUAAAAGCAAAGCAAAUAGCUAGUCAACUUUUCUCUGGAUUAUUUUGUAAAGUGAAAAUACUUUCUGUGCUAUAUGCUAGAUAAAGAGCCCAGUAGCAAAGUCUCCAUUGAUUUCACUGAGGCUGAAUUAGCUUCUGAGCUGAGAAGGCAACCAAACCCCACAUGUGGAGCCAAACUAAGAUCCUCUGUGCUAUUUGCCAGAGGGGUAAUACCCUGAUUAUGGCUUAGUGCUGGCAGGAACCACUUGACCUUUUCAAUUCUUGCCAUCUCUAAUAAGACUACCAACAAUAAUGAUACCUAGGGAUCAAAAUACCAUCUGCUUUGUAUUAGCCUGAGAAAAACAGCUGCUUAGAUGCUAUUUACAAAGGAACGUGUUAAACCUAGACCUAAGCAUUUGCCCAAAUGAAGUAGCUACAAAGGAAGGGCUGUCACUUUCUGUUGGUAGGGGAAAGUAGUCUCUAUUGCAUGGGAGAAGGGCACUUCCAGGACACUGCAAAUAAACGCUACAUGUCGAAGGAGGACUGCCCAGUUGCAUGACAGGGCACAGAGACAGCCCAAGUGCCAGCAGCCAGCAUCUGCCUCUACUGCAGCAAUCUGCUCCCUAAUGAUCCCCCAGCGUCUCCCUGCCUGCUGUGUAGACCUGGUGAUCCCAGUCUUCUUAAUUCUAACAGGCUUAGCAUAGCACCCACUCUUCAGAUCACCAGCUCAUUUCCAACAUUUAAAACAGAUAGAAUAAUGCAGCUUUAAAGUUCUUUUAUUUGAACUCCGAGUAAGACCAAAUCUCUUUGGUGGUAUUAAACUCUAACACAAACUUCAAAUUAGCAAAAGGGAGAGGACCUUAACAGCUCCAAGCAGGUACAUUUUAAGAUUAUUCAGGGUUAUUUCAAUUUUUCUUCUUAUGCAUCUUUUCCUUCUAAGGGUACCAAAGAACAAAGUUAAAUUUCCCAGAAAAGACCACAGACAGAAAAACUGGCAACAUUCCAUUGCUUUGAAAGGAGAACAGCUUUGAAAGGUAUUUCUUAAGAUAAAGUUUGAAACCUGCCUUCCUCUAGCAACUUCUGCAAGGACACCUAACAGGAAAUCCAUAUGGAAUCCAGAAAAUGCCGCACUUGCUUGGAAAGCAAGAGUACUAAUUCUUCUUUUAAUCAAACUUUUCCUUUAUAAAGCAAUAGACAGAGAUAUUUUCAUUUUAAAUAAAUCAGAUUUCAUUUUAAAUAAAUCCCACCUGCCUUUCAAAAUCUUAGCAAAUUAAUAUUUUAUAUGAUUCCAAAUAAUUUCAAGUCAUGAAAACUGUAGGAAAACAUUAAAGCAGAACUGUAGAA